UAACGCGUGGGUAACCUGCCUCNUACAGGGGGAUAACAGUUGGAAACGACUGCUAAUACCGCAUAAGCGCACAGUACCGCAUGGUACCGUGUGAAAAACUCCGGUGGUAUGAGAUGGACCCGCGUCUGAUUAGCUAGUUGGUGGGGUAACGGCCUACCAAGGCGACGAUCAGUAGCCGACCUGAGAGGGUGACCGGCCACAUUGGGACUGAGACACGGCCCAAACUCCUACGGGAGGCAGCAGUGGGGAAUAUUGCACAAUGGGGGAAACCCUGAUGCAGCAACGCCGCGUGAGUGAAGAAGUAUUUCGGUAUGUAAAGCUCUAUCAGCAGGGAAGAAAAUGACGGUACCUGACUAAGAAGCCCCGGCUAACUACGUGCCAGCAGCCGCGGUAAUACGUAGGGGGCAAGCGUUAUCCGGAUUUACUGGGUGUAAAGGGAGCGUAGACGGCGAGACAAGUCUGAAGUGAAAGCCCGGGGCUCAACCCCGGGACUGCUUUGGAAACUGCCUUGCUAGAGUGCUGGAGAGGUAAGUGGAAUUCCUAGUGUAGCGGUGAAAUGCGUAGAUAUUAGGAGGAACACCAGUGGCGAAGGCGGCUUACUGGACAGUAACUGACGUUGAGGCUCGAAAGCGUGGGGAGCAAACAGGAUUAGAUACCCUGGUAGUCCACGCCGUAAGCGAUGAAUGCUAGGUGU
rnacentral:rRNA from 1 species